rnacentral:rRNA from 1 species
CUCAGGCUUCCAGGAAAAGCUUCUAGCACAACACGCAUCGGCCCGUACCGAAAAUGGACACACAUGGGCAAGGAGAGAAUCCUGAGGUGAGCGAGAGAACUAUAGCUAAGGAACUCUGCAAAAUGACCCCGUAACUUAGGGAGAAGGGGUGCUCCAGAAAUGGAGCCGCAGUAAAACGGCCCAAGCGACUGUUUACCAAAAACACAGCUCUCUGCGAAGGCGCAAGCCGAAGUAUAGGGGGUGACGCCUGCCCGGUGCUGGAAGGUCAAGGGGAGCUGUCAGCGCAAGCGAAGCAGCGAGCCGAAGCCCCAGUAAACGGCGGCCGUAACGAUAACGGUCCUAAGGUAGCGAAAUUCCUUGUCGGGCAAGUUCCGACCCGCACGAAAGGCGUAACGAUUUGGGCGCUGUCUCAGCUGUAGACUCGGUGAAGUCUUAGUACCUGUGAAGAUGCAGGUUGCCCGCGACUAGACGGAAAGACCCCAUGGAGCUUCACUGCAGGUUGACAUUGGGCUUGGAUGCAUGAUGUACAGGAUAGGUGGGAGGCUGUGAGCCGUGCGCGCCAGCGUACGGGGAGCCGCUGUUGGGAUACCACCCUUCAUGCAUCUAGGUCCUAACCGGAGGCAACGGGCCACGGGACAGUGUCAGUCGGGCAGUUUGACUGGGGCGGUCGCCUCCCAAAGAGUAACGGAGGCGCCCAAAGAUACCCUCAGCAUGGAUGGAAACCAUGCAUAGAGUGCAAUGGCAUAAGGGUGUCUGACUGCGAGACAUACAGGUCGAGCAGGGACGAAAGUCGGGCUUAGUGAUCCGGCGGAUCCGAAUGGAAGGGCCGUCGCUCAACGGAUAAAAGCUACCCUGGGGAUAACAGGCUGAUCUCCCCCAAGAGUUCACAUCGACGGGGAGGUUUGGCACCUCGAUGUCGGCUCAUCGCAUCCUGGAGCUGAAGUCGGUUCCAAGGGUUGGGCUGUUCGCCCAUUAAAGCGGUACGCGAGCUGGGUUCAGAACGUCGUGAGACAGUUCGGUCCCUAUCUGUCGUGGGCGCAGGAGGUUUGAGGAGAGCUGCCCCUAGUACGAGAGGACCGGGGUGGACGGACCGAUGGUGCACCAGUUGUCACGCCAGUGGCACAGCUGGGCAGCCAAGUCCGGACGGGAUAAGCGCUGAAGGCAUCUAAGCGUGAAGCCCCCUCCAAGAUGAGACCUCCCAUUGGCGACAAGUAAGGCCCCUCGAAGACGACGAGGUUGAUAGGCCGCGAGUGCAAGCGCAGCGAUGUGCUUAGCGGGGCGGUACUAAUAGGCCGAGGACUUGGCUAA